AUUGAACGCUGGCGGAAUGCUUUACACAUGCAAGUCGAACGGCAGCACGGGGCAACCUGGUGGCGAGUGGCGAACGGGUGAGUAAUAUAUCGGAACGUGCCCAAUCGUGGGGGAUAACGUAGCGAAAGUUACGCUAAUACCGCAUACGAUCUACGGAUGAAAGCGGGGGAUCGCAAGACCUCGCGCGAAUGGAGCGGCCGAUAUCAGAUUAGGUAGUAGGUGGGGUAAAGGCUCACCAAGCCAACGAUCUGUAGCUGGUCUGAGAGGACGACCAGCCACACUGGAACUGAGACACGGUCCAGACUCCUACGGGAGGCAGCAGUGGGGAAUUUUGGACAAUGGGGGCAACCCUGAUCCAGCCAUGCCGCGUGAGUGAAGAAGGCCUCGGUGUAAAGCUCUUCGUCCGGGAGAAAUCGCAUGGUGAAUACCCUGUGUGGAUGAC
rnacentral:rRNA from 1 species